UUGCUCAAGUUUCUACUUAAUACUGUUACGGAGCUUUUUAAACACCCUAUCCUUCUGUGACUUCAUCUGCCAUCUUGCUUUCCAAUAUUUGUGCAGGACAAGAGGUCAAGGUUGUGUACUGGGAUGAUAAAGACUGGAUGAAUGACUGUGAGUUUCAGUUAAGAGAGAGAGAUCAGAGCUGAAGAUUAUUUACUACAUUUUGAGAAAAAGACUAUAGAAGGUGGAAUAGCUAGAUUCUGAGGUAA